rnacentral:tRNA from 1 species
CGGGGCAUAGCGCAGCUGGUAGCGCGCGCCGUUUGGGACGGCGAGGUCGUCGGUUCAAAUCCGGCUGCCCCGA